rnacentral:rRNA from 1 species
UACGUAGGGGGCUAGCGUUGUCCGGAUUUAUUGGGCGUAAAGAGCGUGUAGGCGGCCAGGUAGGUCUGCUGUGAAAACUCGAGGCUCAACCUCGAGACGUCGGCGGAAACCAUCUGGCUAGAGUCCGGAAGAGGAGAGUGGAAUUCCUGAUGUAGCGGUGAAAUGCGUAGAUAUCGGGAGGAACACCUGUGGCGAAAGCGGCUCACUGGACCAUAACUGACGCUGAGGCGCGAAAGCUAGGGGAGCAAACAGG